CUAUGCAUGCAGUCGACGGUGAACCCCUUCGGGGGUGGAAUAGUGGCGAACGGCUGAGUAACGCGUAAGUAACCUACCCCCGAGUGGGGAAUAACUCCGGGAAACCGGAGCUAAUACCGCAUAAUCCGUUGUGUCGCAUGGCAUAACGGCAAAGGUUUUGGCCGCUUGGGGAUGGGCUUGCGUUCUAUCAGGUAGUUGGUGAGGUAAGAGCUCACCAAGCCAAUGACGGAUAGCUGGUCUGAGAGGACGACCAGCCAGAGGGGGACUGCGACACGGCCCCCACUCCUACGGGAGGCAGCAGCAGGGAAUCUUGCGCAAUGGGCGAAAGCCUGACGCAGCGACCCCCCCUGGGGGGAAAAGGCCUUCGGGUUGUAAACCGUUUUUCUGAGGGAAGAGAAAGGACGGUACCUCAGGAAUAAGCCUCGGCUAACUACGUGCCAGCAGCCGCGGUGAUACGUAGGAGGCAAGCGUUGUCCGGAUUUACUGGGCGUAAAGGGCGUGUAGGCGGUACAGAAAGUCUUUGCUUAAAGAUCCCGGCUCAACUGGGAGAGUGGCAGAGAUACUUCUGAACUAGAGGGCAGUAGAGGAGAGCGGAAUUCCCGGUGUAGUGGUGGAAUGCGUAGAUAUCGGGAGGAACACCAGUGGCGAAAGCGGCUCUCUGGGCUGUACCUGACGCUGAGCGCGAAAGCGUGGGUAGCAAACCGGAUUAGAUACCCGGGUAGUCCACGCCAUAAACGAUGGAUGCUGGGUAUAGAGGGUAUCGACCCCUUCUGUGCCGAAGCUAACGCGUUAGCAUCCC
rnacentral:rRNA from 1 species